UGCUAUUUACAUACGGACACGUGCCGAGGGUAUUUACCCGACCAAAGUCUAAUUAAACAUGGCGGACGACAAACUCCAAUUUUCUUUUCUUUCUACACGGUGAAUGCUAGUGGAUGAUAUUGCAUUCGUUGAGCCAAGAAUAAUAUGUCCUGUACAGAAAGGAACCUUUCAUUGGUAGAUAGAGAAGUUCUGAAUCCUGUAACAUCUUUGGAAAUAGAUUCGACAGGACAUCUUUUUGUUGGGGAAGGACCUUAUCUUAAAAUAUAUGAGAUCACAGAUGGAAGAUGCAUUGGUAAAGAACGACUAUUUGAGCACCAGAGAAUCCACUCAUUAAAAUUAUGUGACUGUAACAUUGGAACAUUGGUAAUUGCUUGUGGAGGCAGGACUGUUGGUGCUUUCAAUGUGCAUGUUGCAGAAACCAAAAGCAUCUUCAAAAAGAUACUUCCAAUUAAUGAAGUAACAUUCAAUGACUGGAUUUGGGAUGCAUGCUUACUUAGUGGUGAAAACAAUGAUGAUAAGUGUCAAAGUGCCCUUGUAGUGACUGCUCACAAUGCUGUAUGGUUGUGGAAUAUUGCAGAGAAUUCUUCAAGGAAAAUUGCACAGUGUGAAGAAAAUUGCAUUUUAUAUUGUGCACGGUUUAUUCUGCAGACAACAGAUCUUGUCUGGGUGGCAUGUGGGACAGUUUUUAAUGAACUUUUACUCUGGAAACUAUCUAUCUCCUGUUCGUUUGAAAAACAAGCUGUUGUUCAAAAACGAAUUGCAGGACACGAUGGUGUGAUUUUUUCUGUUCGAUACUCUAUCGAAAGAAGUCUUCUUUGCUCUGUUUCUGAUGAUAGAAGUAUCAAAGUACGAAAGGUUGUCUUUUCCAGUGAUUUCGCUGAUGUUCAGGUUUUCCCAACGUUGUUGACUCUCUACGGACACAAAGCCCGUGUGUGGGACUGUCUCAUCCUAAAAGAACACAUCGUUAGUAUCGGAGAAGAUUCCUUGUGUUUACUUUGGAAUUCUAAUGGUGAAAUUGUUCGGUCUUGGAAAGGACAUAUUGGUAAAGGUGUUUGGUCGUUGGCUUCCAAUGCUGAUGAAAGCAUUAUUGCUACAGGCGGUGGUGAUGGUGGAAUUCGCUUGUGGCCUGUGAAGGAUGAAGUUGAACAAGAGAGUGAACAACAGCAUUGGUCUUCGUCUAUACCGUCUGAAUAUGAAGCAGGCACUCUUGCGUCUAAAGAGAAUCCGCGCAUGAUCGGAAUGCUUUUGGACACAAGUGUUCUUGUGUUGACAGAUACUGGGAAUCUUUACAAAUUCACUCAAAAUGAAGAUGCAGCUCACAAAGUGAUGUGUUAUUGUAUACGACAAGAACCGACUUAUUCAUCGUACAGUUUGAUGGUGGUGUCUCCUUGCAAGACUAUUGCUGUCCUUGGUAACAUUAAAGGAUUUAUGAAAUUUGUAUGUUUGACAGAUCAGUCUUGGCAUAGCUUAGAGAAAAGACCGUACGAAAACAAGAUCCUCAGUCUUCAAUGUACAAAUACUUCAACUCCAAACGCUUUCAGUUUAUUUUCAUGUGGACCGGAUGGUCUAAUCAUUUGGUGGAUAAUUGCAAGAGUCCAUGACUCUAAACAGUUUGUUUGUGAGCAAAAGGCGACGUUUUCUUUGCCAUAUUGCAGGCAACGUUGGCUUAAUACGGUACUUGUUGUCAAUAAUACUCCAAGCAAGGGUUUGGAAACAUCUCUAGUUCUUUGCGGUGAUCGUAGAGGCUCACUUCAUGUUUACAAUGUUUCUGCAUCGAUGGACGAGUUUCAGGUGCUACAACCACAGAAGUCAUUUGUGGGAAUUCACGGAGCGAAUGGCGUAACUUCUAUUGUUUAUCACUCGACUGGUCUUUACACAACAGGGCGGGAUGGUUAUCUCAGACGAUAUAAACUUCACAGCAACGAAGGAAUGAUAGAAAUGAUUGAUAAGAGAAAGGUUUAUAAAGGUGUGAAUUGGAUUGAUCGUAUCAUUUUUCUCACCAAUGGAGACAUUUUGGCCGUCGUGUUUCAGUCAGUAGAUUUUAUCGUCUGGAAUAUCACUCGUGAAGAAGUGAUGUUUCGUUUACCUUGUGGAGGCGGUCACCGUAACUGGGAUAUUCAGUUCAAUUUGAUGAAUGGUUCGUUUGUGUUUACUUUCCUGAAACAAAGCACAGUAAAUGUGUGUCGCUGGUCAAGAAAAAUGAAACAGCCAUCUUCUAUUAUUCAGAAAUGCUUUCAUGGUCGUGAAACAAACACUGUCGAUGUGAUUGGAUCUAUACAAAAUAACUACAAUGAUGAGUUUCAUGUGCUGGUUACUGGAAGCGAAGAUACCACUUUAAAUAUCAUGCUAUAUAAAACAGGAGAAUAUCAAAAGGAAAGAUUAUUCAAAGUGCUGACAUGCGAAGGUCAUGUGUCCAGUGUCCGCUGCUGUUCUUGUAUUAAAAUCAAAUGUUUGCGAGAAGAUAAGGACUUUCCUAAGGUUUUGAUUUUUUCUGCUGGGAGUCGAGCUUCAUUAAAAUGUUGGUUGUUAGACAUAAACGAUCUUUGCGAUUCUAAUGCUGCGUUAGAAAAAGACAUGGAAAAAGAAAAAAACUCUUUAAAAUGGAGCUGUUGCCUUGUAGGCGAACUUAAAAGCUCUCGAUAUAAGCGACACAAGAAGAAAGGUUUCAACUCUUGUAGCAAUGAAGAUUUUAUUUCAGAUAUGCGCUUCAUGGCGAUCACAACAUUCCUCAUUUCUGAUGUUUGUGCUUCCUUAUUGAGCAACGUAGAUGAUUCGUCAUAUUACGUCAUCGGUGUUGUUACGGCCUGCUCCGAUGGAUACCUGAGAUGCUACGUGUUUGAUUCUGAAUCGAAAUCAUUCACAAUGGUGGAGAAAAUAUCGUGGAACGGAAAAUGCAUCUUAUGUGUGGGACAUUUUAGCGUCAAAUCAUCGAAAAAAUCUUUUCUUCUCGUUUAUGCAUCAGACACAGCUGGAAACGUUACUUUUUGGGAUGUAACAGAGAUCUUUUCCCCCUAUGUUAAGGCGUCCAGCGAUGAUGUCCGUACCUCAAGUGAGCUGCAAGAAAUCAUACAACAUGAUGGCGAGGAUGUUUUUGUGAAUGGUCCUUCGUCAUCGGUUUUAGAUGAUUUUCAAAAAGAUAACUCGGUCAGUGACAUGAAAUCAUUUAGCGAAGAGAAACGUGCUUUUAAAGUGAUACAUCAAGUGAAGGAACAUCAGUCUGGUGUGAAUGCAUUGAUGAUCUCAAAAAAGGGUAUUUAUGAGUAUUUGAUGUGCAGUGGUGGUGACGAUGGUGCCGUCGUUUUUGCUUGUUUCAAGGUAGAAACAACGAAUGAAAUCUUGAAGUUUUCUUCGUGGGGCUCCAUAUCGUUUCCUGGUGCUCACACCUCAGCUGUUACAGGAUUCAAAAUCUUGGACAAUAAUCUUGCUAUAACAGUUUCUGGUGAUCAAAGAAUGAAAAUGUGGAAAGUUGGUGAAAAAACUCAGAAUGGAAAAUUGUGCAAUGUUGAACUCCUUCAAUGUUACUGGCUUGAUGUUGUUGAUGUAAAAGGAUUAGAUGUCCUUCAAGAUAGGAAUGGUUUGUACUAUGUCGUUGCAUGUGGAGUUGGUCUCGAACUAUUUGUGUUUGGCUUAAGCUGACAAACAAGCAACCGUCUUUUUAUGACCUGGAUUAUCUUGUGAUGAUAAUUUAAAGCAUAGGUGAUGUUUAAAAUGGCCAUUCGUCGUCUUACAUUGAAAAGGAAAAUGUUGUUUACAUUUGAAGGAUGUUUUAACUGCUUCCGUUACUGUUACUAUGGCUUUUUGUUGCCAUUUUCAGUCUUUUACUUUCACAUUGACAAACAAUUUGCAUAAAUAAAAUUUAAAAGACGUUUUUGUAUUUGAAAUGGGAAGCGCUCACGAGUUUUGAUGUCUAAUGCACUGACUCGUCCUGUACAUUUGAAAUAUAACAAGUCACUUUUUAAUGGCAUAGUUCAAACGCUCAACUUGGACGAGGUGUAUAAGAUCCUUCGUAAAGAAAGAAAAUGUUCGUACUUUGACCCCAUUUAAUUGCAACUAUAAUGUUAAUUAAUCUCUAUUAUCUAUCCAAAUUCUGUUUUUGUCAAGUUUAUAACCCCUACACGAUUUCCGGGUGAGUUCAAGUGUGCACGCCAUUCCACUAGCUUGUAAGAAUUGCAUUUAGUCGUGAUCUAUGUAGUUGUGCUGAUGUUUA